CAUUCAUUGGGCAUCACAGGGAAGAUAAGAGCGAGGAAACUAAACCACAGCUAUUUCUGUGACAUGAUCUCACCUCGCAACACCUAGCUACUGAAGCAGGACUCUGAAAAAUCGUCAGCGCAGCUUUUAAUGCUAUUUUUUGGUCAAGAUUUUACAGGCAGAACAGCAUCUUCUCUGUAUCUAUCCAGUCUGCACGCCCGGACUGACGCAGAUCCCACCGGCGAAGCUGACGUCCUCCAAGAUGUUUGCUCCAUCAGUUGUUCCCACUCCCCCCUUCUGCGUCUGGGAGCAAUGCACGAUGCUUUCGGCGGCCCCUUUUCCUGCGGUGCUCUGGCAUAUGCUUCUUAGCAGUGUAACUAUGUUGCUCCUUUUCAAAUGAAAAUAUUUGGGAAAACAGGCACUAUUUCCUCAGUACCCAACUCCCCACAGAUCCAUCCACUACCAAAUGAGAUAAAAUACAAAUGUACACGUCUC